GUUGGCGUCCUGUAAAGUGAUCCGAAAGACAUUUAUGCCCCCACCCUUCAAAUGUUUCUGUCCGUCACAUUUUUCGUAUUACGUGUCAUGACUUGCAAUUUUUAAAUUUACAUUUUUAGACAUCAAUAUGAAAAGGACAUCAAGGUGCACCAAGCAGUACAAGUCUAAGAUAGAAACCCUUUAUGCAUUCAAUUCACAGCUUCCACACCAGGAGAUUGCGAGACUCCUGAGGGAUUCUUCACAGAAAUGCAAGCAAAAGUUGAUAGCAAAGCAGCCAAACUUUUAUUGUUGCUGCUGUUUGUUCACUAGUCUCACUAUCCUGCGCUGCAUCUACAUGUCAAUGUAACCCAAAACAGGAAUGAAUUAGAACAAAUGGAUGAGAUCUACAGUAACAAAACACACAGGCACUUUAUUAUAUCAUUAAAAUUUAUAAAAUGCUCAGCCUAUUUAAAUAAGUUUUAGAAGGUAGGAGUUUGAUGUUUUGUGAUUAUAUGUAGAAAGGAUGAGGAAAGGCUGAUAUAGCUGCUUGUUAUUUAGAAAAGGUGGCUGGAAGCUUACCAAAAUUGUGUUCUGCAUAGAAAUGUUGCUGGUUCCUCAUAGCUCAAAUGCUUUAUCUAUGUUUAAGAUCUUUAACAGUGUUAAAAAAGCUUUGAGGAUUCCAGAAUCUGUAUUGCACUAUUUUUAAACAUCAUGAUACAUUCGAAGGAGGAGAUAGGUUUGGUUUAA